AGCGAACGCUGGCGGCAGGCUUAACACAUGCAAGUCGAACGAACCUUUCGGGGUUAGUGGCGGACGGGUGAGUAACACGUGGGAACGUGCCUUUAGGUUCGGAAUAACUCAGGGAAACUUGUGUUAAUACCGAAUGUGCUCUUCGCGGGAAAGAUUACUUGCGUUUAGAGCGGCCCUCGUCUGAUUAGCUGGUUGGUUGAGGUAAUGGCUCAUCACGGCGACGAACAGUAGCUGUUAGGGGCAGAUGAUCAGCCACGUCGGCGCUGAGACACGGACCAAACUCCUACGGAGGGGAGCAGUGGGGAAUAUUGCGCGAUGGGCGAAAGCCUGACGCAGCCGUGCCGCGUGAAUGAUGAAGGUCUUAGGAUUGUAAAAUUCUUUCACCGGGGACGUUAGUGACGGUACCCGGAGAAGAAGCCCCGGCUAACUACGUG
rnacentral:rRNA from 1 species